AACGAACGCUGGCGGCAGGCUUAACACAUGCAAGUCGAGCGCCUCGCAAGGGGAGCGGCAGACGGGUGAGUAACGCGUGGGAACAUGCCCAAAGGUACGGAACAACUCCGGGAAACUGGAGCUAAUACCGUAUGUGACCGAGAGGUGAAAGAUUUAUCGCCUUUGGAUUGGCCCGCGUUGGAUUAGCUAGUUGGUGGGGUAAAGGCCUACCAAGGCGACGAUCCAUAGCUGGUCUGAGAGGAUGAUCAGCCACACUGGGACUGAGACACGGCCCAGACUCCUACGGGAGGCAGCAGUGGGGAAUAUUGGACAAUGGGCGCAAGCCUGAUCCAGCCAUGCCGCGUGAGUGAUGAAGGCCUUAGGGUUGCAAAGCUCUUUCGCCAGGGACGAUAAUGACGGUACCUGGAUAAGAAGCCCCGGCUAACUUCGUGCCAGCCGCCGCCGUAACAC
rnacentral:rRNA from 1 species